rnacentral:lncRNA from 1 species
CAUCAUCACUAAUGUUCUUUAUCCUCUCCACUUUAUUUCUGUGGUCACAGGAACAUGCUGGGCACUCCAGUAGCUAUAAUUUUUAGAACACUGGAUUUCCAUUUGCAAUCUGUGGCAGGCUAAAACCCUUAAUUAGUAACAGCAGGUGCUGAAGUGCUCAAAGCAAAUCACUCCUGUAUUUUAGUGAGUUGUUAUUUAUGUCACUCUUAUCACCAGGAGCAGGGUUGACAAUCAGCAGCAGCUGCAUGGGCCUACACUCUCACGGGGCAAUCUUGGGCCUCCAGCUUCCCCAGGAGUCUGAGAUUUAAGCAGCUCUAUCAGGAGAAACUGAGCAAGCUGCUCUUCUGGCAAGGGCGCACAAAAGGCCCUGCUGGAGCUCCACACUCUCAAGGGUAGGAAAGCACAAUUAUUAAUGUACUACUAGAUAAUUAGCUAUUUUACUCAGAAUUCCAUUUAGUGCAGCUUUGCCUAAUCCUGCACCAUAACCUACUACUUUUGAGUUUUAAUAGGUUCCCCCAUCUUGAAAAAAUUAAGAGAACCUGUUAAGCCGGGCCACUCCAGAGUGGUAAAUAAUUCCUUUUCAGAAAACUUGCUCUCAAGUAGACAGAUACGUGAGGUAGAGUCUUCUGAGGAGGAACAAACUGCACUCAGCACAAAAGCGGCCUCUCAUAUCCCCCCAGGAAGACCUGUGAGACGCUCGAGAAAAAGCAAACACAGGCUGGCCGCGCUUUCUGGGGCGGUCAAGGUUUCAUGUUCUCUAGUGAGGCAAUGGUGUCGCGCUCCUAACAACUCAUAGGACGAUCCUACACGAUGUCCUGUAUCUCAGAAAACCCACGACACGGCGGAAAUUGAAAAUGUACGUGCAGCAAUCUCAGUGAGGUUACCAAGCAGAAGUGUGCAGUACCAGCAAAUGUCUGGAAGCUGACGGCCACCACUUCGAGCACCUCUGGUGAUUGCAGAGGCCGAAGGUGACUCGUGUUACUCUCACGAUGUCUCCGUAAAUUUGGUAUUAAAAUAUACACGUUUUUCUUUCCCUGA